rnacentral:rRNA from 1 species
AACGAACGCUGGCGGCAUGCCUAACACAUGCAAGUCGAACGAGACCUUCGGGUCUAGUGGCGCACGGGUGCGUAACGCGUGGGAACCUGCCCUUAGGUUCGGAAUAACUCCCCGAAAGGGGUGCUAAUACCGGAUAAUGUCUUCGGACCAAAGAUUUAUCGCCUUUGGAUGGGCCCGCGUUGGAUUAGCUAGUUGGUAGGGUAAAAGCCUACCAAGGCGACGAUCCAUAGCUGGUCUGAGAGGAUGAUCAGCCACACUGGGACUGAGACACGGCCCAGACUCCUACGGGAGGCAGCAGUGGGGAAUAUUGGACAAUGGGCGAAAGCCUGAUCCAGCAAUGCCGCGUAAGUGAUGAAGGCCUUAGGGUUGUAAAGCUCUUUUACCCGGGAUGAUAAUGACAGUACCGGGAGAAUAAGCGCCGGCUAACUCCGUG